GGCCUUGACAUACUAAGAACUUUCCAGAGAUGGAUUGGUGCCUUCGGGAACUUAGAUACAGGUGCUGCAUGGUUGUCGUCAGCUCGUGUCGUGAGAUGUUGGGUUAAGUCCCGCAACGAGCGCAACCCUUUUCCUUAUUUGCCAGCGGGUCAUGCCGGGAACUUUAAGGAUACUGCCAGUGACAAACUGGAGGAAGGCGGGGACGACGUCAAGUCAUCAUGGCCCUUACGGCCAGGGCUACACACGUGCUACAAUGGUCGGUACAAAGGGUUGCUACCUCGCGAGAGGAUGCUAAUCUCAAAAAGCCGAUCGUAGUCCGGAUCGCAGUCUGCAACUCGACUGCGUGAAGUCGGAGUCGCUAGUAAUCGCGGAUCAGAAUGCCGCGGUGAAUACGUUCCCGGGCCUUGUACACACCGCCCGUCACACCAUGGGAGUUUGUUGCACCAGAAGUAGGUAGUCUAACCGCAAGGAGGACGCUUACCACGGUGUGGCCGAUGACUGGGGUGAAGUCGUAACAAGGUAAGCGUAGAUGA
rnacentral:rRNA from 1 species